CAAAUAUUUGCUCAUAAUACAUAACAGACGCGCGCAACCUCAAAUCAUUAUGAUUUACCAUCUAACGCUGACGCACAAAAUGUUCAAAUUAUUAAUAUUUCUAUCAAUCACGGUUUGCGAGUGUGUGUAUUUUUAUUCGAGUUUUUGGACGCCGAGAAUGCUUAAUUACAAAGUUGAUGUCGGAUUUGAGCCAAAUGGUGGCAAAAUCGCGGCAAAAGAAUACGAGACCUUGUAUGGAUAUAGAGGAAGUAAAUUAAUAGCGGAUUUGGGUAAUGGAAGAGGCCCAUCCCAUGAUGCUAACGAUCCCAAGGUGUAUGGAAAGGUGCAUGUCUAUUCUGUGCCAGCGAAAUAAUAAUAAUCUUUAUAUUUUUAUAAGUUUCAAAACUAUGUUACAGAAAACGUAAAAGAAAUUAAAUAUGAUUUGCAUAAUAACUACACUUUACACAGUACAGAAUAAAAAUUAGACUUGGUCUUCAAAUAUUUA